AUUGAACGCUGGCGGAAUGCUUUACACAUGCAAGUCGAGCGGCAGCGCGGCCUUCGGGCUGGCGGCGAGCGGCGAACGGGUGAGUAAUGCAUCGGAACAUGCCCAGUCGUGGGGGAUAACACUUCGAAAGAAGUGCUAAUACCGCAUACGUCCUGAGGGGGAAAGCGGGGGAUCGCAAGACCUCGCGCGAUUGGAGUGGCCGAUGUCAGAUUAGCUAGUUGGUGGGGUAAAGGCCUACCAAGGCGACGACCUGUGGCUGGUCUGAGAGGAGGAUCAGCCACCCUGGGACUGAGAAACGGCCCAGACCCCCAGGGGAGGCAGCAGUGGGGAAUUUUGGACAAGGGGGGCAACCCUGAUCCAGCCAUUCCGGGUGGGUGAAGAAGGCCUUCGGGUUGGAAAGCUUUUUCGGCAGGAACGAAACGGUGGGCCUUAACAUAGUCCGCUAAUGACGGUACCUGAAGAAGAAGCACCGGCUAACUACGU
rnacentral:rRNA from 1 species